rnacentral:rRNA from 1 species
UGCUGGAAUUCUUUAUGCGUGAAAUGGAUUCGUCUGCCCAAGGAUGGGUCUGCGGCCUAUCAGGUAGUAGUGGGUCUAAUGUACCUACUAGCCGACGACGGGUACGGGUUGCGAGAGCAAGAGCCCGGAGAUGGAUUCUGAGACAUGAAUCCAGGCCCUACGGGGCGCAGCAGGCGCGAAAACUUUACAAUGCGGGAAACCGUGAUAAGGGGACACCGAGUGCCAGCAUUAUAUGUUGGCUGUCCGGGUGUGUAAAAUACACCUGUUAGCAAGGGCCGGGCAAGACCGGUGCCAGCCGCCGCGGUAACACCGGCGGCCCGAGUGGUGAUCGUGUUUAUUGGGUCUAAAGGGUCCGUAGCCGGUUUGGUCAGUCCUCCGGGAAAUCUGACGGCUUAACCGCUAGGCUUUCGGGAGAUACUGCCAGACUUGGAACCGGGAGAGGUAAGAGGUACUACAGGGGUAGGAGUGAAAUCUUGUAAUCCCUGUGGGACCACCUGUGGCGAAGGCGUCUUACCAGAACGGGUUCGACGGUGAGGGACGAAAGCUGGGGGCACGAACCGGAUUAGAUACCCGGGUAGUCCCAGCCGUAAACGAUGCUCGCUAGGUGUCAGGCAUGGCGCGACCGUGUCUGGUGCCGCAGGGAAGCCGUGAAGCGAGCCACCUGGGAAGUACGGC